rnacentral:rRNA from 1 species
AAUGAACGCUGGCGGCGUGCUUAACACAUGCAAGUCGAACGAGAAAGUCCGCAAGGAUGAGUACAGUGGCGCACGGGUGAGUAAUACAUAGGAAUCUGCCUCUGAGUGGAGAAUACCCUAGAGAAAUUUAGGUUAAUACUGCAUAAGCCUGGAAACAGGGAAAGGUGGCCUCAAGCUGCCUCUGAGAGAUGAGCCUAUGGCCUAUUAGCUAGUUGGUAGGUAAAGCCUACCAAGGCGAAGAUGGGUAACCGGCCUGAGAGGGUGACCCCCCACACUGGUACUGAGACACGGACCAGACUCCUACGGGUGGCAG